rnacentral:rRNA from 1 species
CAGUAGUCACGAGUUUGAUCCUGGCUACAGAACGACGCUGGCGGCAUGCCUAACACAUGCAAGUCGAACGAACCCUUCGGGGUUAGUGGCGCACGGGUGCGUAACGCGUGGGGAUCUGCCCAAAGGUUCGGAAUAACUCAGAGAAAUUUGAGCUAAUACCGGAUAAUGUCUUCGGACCAAAGAUUUAUUGCCUUUGGAUGAACCCGCGUAGGAUUAGCUUGUUGGUGGGGUAAAGGCCUACCAAGGCGACGAUCCUUAGCUGGUCUGAGAGGAUGAUCAGCCACACUGGGACUGAGACACGGCCCAGACUCCUACGGGAGGCAGCAGUGGGGAAUAUUGGACAAUGGGCGAAAGCCUGAUCCAGCAAUGCCGCGUGAGUGAUGAAGGCCUUAGGGUUGUAAAGCUCUUUUACCAGGGAUGAUAAUGACAGUACCUGGAGAAUAAGCUCCGGCUAACUCCGUG